GGUAGCGUGGCCGAGUGGUCUAAGGCGCUGGAUUUAAGUAGUGGUUUGUGCAAAACCAUGAAUCCCAGUAGAGAAAUCUGCGUGGGUUCGAACCCCACCGCUACCA